AGAAGGGGUAAGACUGAUGAUUGACUUGCGAUGCAUCCCCCCUGUAGGAGUGUGACUCAGCUGCCUUCAUGGACCACAAGGGACUCAGUGUUACUGCGACUUCAUCAUUAAAGACUACCCCUAGGAAAAAAAUGUGAUCCCUUCAUUUCAGUCCCUGUGUCAUCACAGCGGGGUGUGGCAUCAGUCAGCUUAGUUGUGGUUUAAGGAUGGUCUCAAUAGAGUUCUCAGAACCUUUAGUUCAUGGCAAUCUGUACUGUGUUUUGGGGUUUUUGUUUGUUUGUUUGGUUAGUUUGGUUUGGUUUUUGUUGUUGUUGUUUGUGAUUAAGAAGUUAGCAAAAAAAAAAGAAUUUAAUUACUUUCACCCUAAGAACUGGUUGUAACGCCUUUGUUUUAUAAAUAAUUUUUUAAAGUUGCAAUAAUGUAGUAGUUCUCCUCAGUUCCACUCUCUAGUAUUCUAAUUAGCUGCAACCCACCACACUCCAAGACGAAUUUCUAUCAUGGUAUAUGACUUGUUAAUUGGUCUGUGUUAUCAUUGGCUACCAUUACACUUCGCUGUGUAUAAUGGACACAGUAAUCACUGCCCUAGGCCUGUGAGUGGGACAAAUAUACUACAGCUCCAAAUACCUGGGGUUUUAGAUAUCCACAGGGGGAAGAGGGUGGCUUGGAACUUAUGCUGUUGUGCAUGUAACUUGGCCUUUCAUAAUGUUAAACCCCAUCUUCCCUCAGUAAAAUAAUCAGGCAAAAGAGUUGACAUUGCUGAGAUACCGCUGGUGGAACAGCAGUACAUUGGCUGGUUUACCCGACCCCCUUUCUUUCUGGGGUUCCCUCUGAAGUUGCACCCUGCACUUACUGUCUGCACAGUCUUCUCACUCUGUCAUAGAGUCUGACUCUCCCUGUCUUUCAUGGGCUUCAGUUUUGCGGCCACUCAGCCACCUGUACAAUGCCUCUAAUGUGACUUCUAGAGUAAGUAGAGAGAGGUUACAGAUCUGUGAGUGCCACACCCUAAGGGGUAGCCUCCCCCCCAGUGCACAGGGUGCCACUGCAGGUGAUGAUGUGUUGGAAAUGGCAGUGCUGACCUGGCCAGCGUCCAUCUGCAUGUCCCGUUCAGAGCUUUCCCCCCUUUAGAAUAAGUAGCUUAGGGAAAUACCAGACAUAUUCUAUUUCUUUCAGACAUCAUUUUGAUUUGCUCUCCAUCAGUUGAUUGUAUGGUUUUUGUCUUUGUUUUCGUUUUUCAAUGUUUUGAGCGCCCCCCCCCCCACUAGGGUCUUCUAGCCUUCCAUGGUGUGAGACAAAAGGAGGAGAUAGACAUCUUUCUAGUUUUCUUCUUUCUUUCUCUUUAGUGUUCAAUCCAGAUACCACCUAGAAAACUAAGGAUCUGGAUUCAGAUGGAUUGUUUUUGUUACAAUUUCUGGUCCCUAAAUUCUAAUUUCAUGACAUGGAGCCAAUGUCCUUGGCUUGAAGCAUCAGUGGCAGAUAAUGAUGUGCCCACACUCAACCGGGGGCUCCUUUUGGAAAGCACCUUCCUUUUUAUUACAGCUACAUUUUCUAGAAAAACACAAACAAGGCAGUAUAUGGAAGCGAUCCACCUUCUGUUUCUCCCAUGGCUGUUCCAUGUUUCACUGAAGCAGAGCCAUGUCCCCAUGCUUUAAAAGCAUUUGGAUUUUUUUUUUUUAAGUGAGUCAGGACAAGCUCAGCAGCCCAUCUCCUGUGCGCAGGGACAUACUGGGAGGGAAUGUAGUGAGUGUGAGAGUGUCUAUGUUGUUAGUUCUGUGACACUGGCCACACUACUCCUGGAAUCACUCCGUCGUGGUGGAGGAGGCAGGCAGAGCAGCAGGUCACUCUCCUUGGCAGAAGCAUGCGGAGGAUGCAGACACUCAUCACUGAGGACCAGGAAAGAUAGGCACCAGCAGCAGUUCACACCGUCACAGGCCUGCUCUAAUGGCCUGCUUCCUCCAGCAAGAUCCUGCUCCUAAAGCCCCGCAGCCCCCAGAACAAGAGCCUCUAAAACCACAUCACACGCAAACCGUAAGAGCUGAUGUUUAGAGGCUCUGACCACAUCAGCAGCGUUACCUUUUUUUUUUUUUUAAAGAAACUUUCCCAUUUUUAAUGUAAUUUUUAAAACAAAAUGUUGAAAGGGAGGUAUAGACCAUAAUACCAUGUUUUUAAGGUACAAGGUUUUGAUGGAUUUUUCAGCUCUUUCCAAGAGUAAACUUAUUUUUGUUUACCUUUCACUUACCAACAAAUGUCCUGUGUUUUUCCUGGAUUGCUAUAUUGACAUUUUCUUGGUUUUUUCUAUUUUCAAAAAAAUCAUUUUUUGUUAUUUUGUAGAAUUCUGUACAUGCAUCCAAUGAAAUACAAUAAUAUCUACCUUCUAUUUCCUCCUUCUGAAUUCCCCCAUACACAUCUUCCUCCCAACUUUAUAUCUUACUUUUCAUUUAAAAAAGCAAACAAACAAACAAACAAAAAACACUAAGUCCAGUUAGUGCAGUUUCUAUGUGCAUGGGUGUGGAGCCUCUUUCUAUAUUUUUAAAUCAGUGUCUUGUAAGUUUUCAGACUCUGUACUACAUAACAACUCUUCAGAGAGGGAUACUAGGGAUAUAUUGUCCCUGGGACAUUAGAAAAUACCCAUUUAAUCUUAUUUUUAUUCUCAAGCAUAAGUGGUAUGAAGGUGAUACUUAGGACUGGUUGUUAAAGAUGAGACAAUGACCAUGGAGCCGUCCUCAUGAGCAGGAGUUGAAGUCCUACAAUGUGUAAAGCCCUUUGUCACGCGAGGAACAGGGGACCCAGGAAGCCUGCCUGGGGGUUUCUUUCUAGGUCCAUGCUGCCGAAUGCAGAUCUGCCUCCCGACUCUGCAGAGAGAAUUUUCCCAGUACUUGAAAACAAGACC
rnacentral:lncRNA from 1 species